GGGCCCACCGGCUUGAGGCUGCCUUUCCCGGCGUUCCCUCGUUUAUUGGCUCACUCUUCCUUUCAUCCAUCCAUCCUUUGCGCAACAAUAUUUGAUGGGAAGCCUGCCAAGAGGCAGGGAGAAAGACACAUGGGCAGGAGAAUACCACAUGGAGACACAGACACACGAGGGGAGGAUGCCUGCUGACCAUGGAGGCAGAAGUGGGACUGACGCAUCGAUCAGCUGAGGGAUGCCAAGCACUGCCAGCAAACACCAGAGGCUUGAUGGGGGCGAGUAUUCUCCUGUGCAGGUAUCAGAGGGAGCCUGGCCUUGCAGAUACCUUGAUUCCUGACUUCUGGCCUCUAAAAUGUCCAAUGUGAGUCAGGCAUCUCUCCUGGUGGCUGUCUUCCAUGUGGUGACUUAUGUAUCCAGGAUCCUUCUACUGUGUUUCUCCUCCAUUGCGAAGUCCUUCACUUCCAGCACCUGAGACAUUUUUUGGGUAUAUCUACAAGUGGCAUAUAUCACUUCUGCCCACAUUCACCUGGGUAGAACUCAAUCACAUUGUUUCACCUAACUGCAAGUGAGGCUGUGGAAUAUAGUCUCCCUAUGUGCCCAAGCAGAAGAAACAGGAUUGGUGAGCAUCUAGCCCAUCUCUACCACUAACAGUUUAUCCCCCCUAAUAAAUCAAUACACUGAUGAUCUAGUUUUGUCUUUGUUCUCUUGCGAAUGUUAUAGUGUGACUCUACAAUGUGUGAUUGCUCCUGGUGAAUCAAAAGGAUAAAGCUGCUGAUUCUGCAAUUUGAUAACCCAACCAUGCUGACCUCAAAGUGUAGUCAAUCCAUGAAGUUCCUCCCACCACAGCUCAUCCUGAACACUGCCCACCUGAGUCAUCAAGAAAGGUUUAAGUACAUUAUCUGUGCUCUGUUUAAUAUGUCCGUGAAGUGUGUCCUAAAUUUAGUUAUUUCUAGGACCUCUUUCUAGUUUGCAAGUAAGCCAGGUUCUACUGCUGUCAAGUGUUACUCAUGGCUAACUGAGGAAAAGGGGUUCAAAAACAUUGAGAAGACGAAAAGGAGGGAGAAGGCUGGGUUAAUGGGGACGGAGGUAAGGGGUGAGACCCCGGCUAAACAGUGAAGAUAAAAACAGACAUGUAAAUGAGAGAACCGGAAGAGAAGGUAAUGGUGAAAGUCAAUACGGGAAGGAAAGGGGUUGUAGGGGACAAACACUGAGAGGGCAAGAACUUGGAGUAGGUGAAACUAAGGUGAGCGAGGAGGCUGAAGAGAGGUCAGCUGCAGCGGGAAAGAGGGAAGGGCCCUUUAAGAGACACAUCAAGCCGCAGGUGUGGGCCACGAGGCUGGCGCAGGGCUGUCGCUUCACGCGCCGCAGACUCAUCCAGAAGCGCCUUGGGAGCUGCGGAGCCCUAGAGCCUCCAUCCGGGCAGCAAAGCAGCUCACGUGUCCCACCCGGGAAGGGCAGGAGUGGGCGAGGAAUGGUGGAGGGAAAGGAGGGAAAGCGGAGAAACAGGAGGGAGGGGGAAAGCUGCCGCUGCAGAAAAGAAACGAGUAAGCCCCUUUGUGCUUGGCCUGCGAGGUGUUUCCUUCCCGAGCAGACUUGAAGCUGUCACCUCUCAGUCUGGGUUUGGAAUAAAUACACUCGCCCACCGAGAGAUGAGGCGGCGCCUGGCCGCACCUGGGAGGUACCUGGUCGCACCUGGAAGUGCCUGGUCUCCCCUGGCAGGUACCUGGCCGCUCCUUUCCUGGAGCCAUGGGCACGGGCCCCUCCCGGACUUUCUACUGCUCUGCAGGAGGAUCCGAUGACUGUGACCGACUGGGACACCGACCCAGGAAUGCCUGGCGGGGUGGAGGGUCUGGAGACUGCAAUUGAGAUUUCACCUGAUUCUUGGCCACAAAGUUUCAAGGGAACCAGAGCUAAUGAAGACAGCAUGGAAGGGCACCGCCGAGACCUACCUGUGGGAGUCCACCUCACCCUCAAGAACAGCUACCAUUUUAACACAGAUGGAUAAACCCCAUGAAAGUGAACUUCCUAAAUGCAAAUUCUGAUCUUGAAGCCCCAGCUGGCACAUCUACUGGAGACCCUCCCAAGCAACAAGAUGUAGAUGCUUUAGAGAUAACAAACUAUACAAGUUGUCUUCCAUUCUUUCUCCUUCCUCUAUUUUCAACACGGAUAAAAUACAUAUAUAUUUAUCUUGCUGAGCUCAGUAGGAUUAUUUAGCUUUAUUUCCAUGGCUGCCUUUUCUUAAUGUAAUAGAAUUUCCAAUCGAGCUUAUUACUUCCUUCCGUCACAAGCCUGAGGUCCUUUCACACCCAUCCUGUCCUUGGCAAAGAUCUUUGGAAAGUAGCCUGGGACAUACCUAGUGGUAAGCCACCUGCUCUGGGUUGAGGGUGGAUCUAUUCUAGUCAGAGGCUUUGUGAUCUGGACAAAGGAAUUGAGUAUGUGGCUGUCAAACUGUCAGGCAAUACUAAAUUUGGCUGGCCAGCUGAAUUCUAGCAGAAAAUCAUGCAAAAUAAGGUUUAGCAAUUGGGGAAAAAUGGCCCACAGGAAAAACAAAGGGAUGAAAUUCCGUAGGACUACACGGCCAUAGAAUUCUAACUUGAGGGCUGCAACCAGCUAUGUGACCUUGUAGUACAAGGACCAGUCUUCAGAUACAAAAUAGAGUUUGGAGUUAAAGGGAUCUUUGAGAAGAAGCCAUUAUCCACCCCCUCCUCCCAAUUUUAUAUGCCCUAAGAAAAAGGUUUCUUUCAACUUAGAAAGGUAUGAUUCUUGAAGUGCACUUCCUCCGAGUUUUCCUGAGCCUCUCAAUCAAAAUGACUUGCACCUGCCCAUCCAUUCCCAUUGGCUUAUGCUCCUACCCUGCAGUAUUGGCUUCAUUAUGCCUCACCUUGUACACCUGUCUGAUUCCUCUCCUAGAUUAUCAGCACCUUGACAAUGGGCUCGUAUCUUGUGUAUCCCUGAAUUUCCAGGGACAAUGAUAGUGCCUGCCACAUAAUUGAUGGUCAAUAAAUUUUGGUUAAAUAGUAACAAGAAACUCCCAUUUAAAAAAUGUGUUAUCGUUAUCAUUCUCAAUCUGGAUGCUCUCCUCUAUACACAGUUUUAUUCAGUAACUCUCUUAAAAUUGUAAAGGUGAGAAAUUGAACACAGUUUCCCAGGUCUUUGAGCAGCACGAGAUACAGGGAGAAAAAAAAUGCUUUGUGCUUGAAUACUUUACUUCUGAUUGGAGAAAAUAAACACUGCACUGGAUUAUUUUUAAAGAUACAUCACAUUACGUUUGUGAUCAACUGAAAUGCUAAGAUAUUUGCAUGUGGAUUUCUGCCAAGCUGCUUUUCUCCCAUUCUUCAUGUGUGUGAUUGAUCUUGAAAUCAAAUGGUGGGACUUUAUAUAUUUUUUUGUUUUAACUCAAGGUAAAGUCUGACAAAAAUCACGUUAAAUUUGAUGCUGUCAGUGAAGACAUUAGCAAUCCUUCCUGGCUUAAGGUCACUGGCAAAUUUGAUAUACUUAUCUUUUGUGGGGUUUUUUUGUUGGUUUUUUUAAGACAGGGUCCCACUCUGUCACCCAAGUUAGAGUACAGUGGCUUGAAAAUGGCUCACUGAAGCCUCGACCUCCCAGGCUUAAGCAAUCCUCCCACCUCAGCCUCCUGAGUAGCUGGGACUACAGGCAUGCACCACAAUGUCUGGCUGAAUUUUUUUUUUUUUUUUUUUUUUUUGUAGAGAUGUGGUCUUCCUAUGGUUCCCAGGCUGGUCUUGAACUCCUGGGCUCAACCAAUCCUCCCACCUUGGCCUCCCAAAGUGCUGAGAUUAUAGGCAUAAGCCACAACAUGCAGCCGUCUUUUCCGUUUUUAUCCCACUCUUUGACAAUGUUGGAAGGAUUAGGACUAGCUCUAAUAAGAGUCACCCCCUUCAUAUUGGGUAAUCAACCAACAGCUAGAAAUGUACACUGAAAUACUACCAGACAUCCCUUAUUUUACCAUCUUAUCCACAAAGAUCUUACAGAUGACAUUUUAAAAACAUUGUCUAAAGCACAGAAAUACUUUUAAGCACAGUAGCCCCUGAAGCUUGCCAGCCAAAUAAUCUAUUAAAACUUAAAUGAAACAAGGCAAGUAUGGUGCAUGCGUAUGGUGGCUGUGGUACUGGUGGCAUGCUUUUUUAAAUUCUACAGUCUCCUCCAACCACCCUCUGCUUUUUAAGUAAGUCUAAUUUAGCAUAUGCCUUGGCAUUCAUAUUAGGCUGACUUUCCACGACUGGCAUCCC
rnacentral:lncRNA from 10 species